AGUUCGGAUUGUAGGCUGCAACUCGCCUACAUGAAGUCGGAGUUGCUAGUAAUCGCGGAUCAGAAUGCCGCGGUGAAUGCGUUCCCGGGUCUUGUACACACCGCCCGUCACACCAUGGAAGGUUGGGGGCGCCCGAAGUUGGUCGAGGAAUAGAUUACCUAAGGCGAAACCAAUGACUGGGGUGAAGUCGUAACAAGGUACC
rnacentral:rRNA from 1 species